AUUGAACGCUGGCGGCAUGCUUUACACAUGCAAGUCGAACGGUAACAGGGUGCUUGCACCGCUGACGAGUGGCGAACGGGUGGGUAAUGCGUCGGAACGUGCCGAGUAGUGGGGGAUAACGCAUCGAAAGGUGUGCUAAUACCGCAUACGUACUGAGGUAGAAAGUGGGGGACCUUCGGGCCUCACGCUAUUCGAGCGGCCGACGUCUGAUUAGCUAGUUGGUGAGGUAAAGGCUCACCAAGGCGACGAUCAGUAGCGGGUCUGAGAGGAUGAUCCGCAACACUGGGACGGAGACACGGCCCAGACUCCUACGGGAGGCAGCAGUGGGGAAUUUUGGACAAUGGGCGCAAGCCUGAUCCAGCCAUGCCGCGUGUCUGAAGAAGGCCUUCGGGUUGUAAAGGACUUUUGUCCGGGAGCAAAUACCCAGUGCUAAUAACGCUGGGGGCUGAGAGUACCGGAAGAAUAAGCACCGGCUAACUACGUGCCAGCAGCCGCCGUAAUAC
rnacentral:rRNA from 1 species